GUGAAUUCCUGGUCAUACAGAAGUGAAUUAUUCAUCCUCCAUGAACCCUUGCCUUUAUAAGAAAAUGCGUCUGUAAGUAUCAGUGUCACAGGUGCGUGGUCAGACCAGGUUAUGUCACCGUGUGUGCAUUGAUGUGUUUGUGGGAGCCCUGCGCUGGUUGUGAAAAAAUAAUCUAUUCUAGAAUGGGUUUUGUGCACUUGGGAGAAGUAGGUAUAAUCUUUAUCUCCGGGGUGCAGUGUGCGCCAUACAUCAUAUAAGUUAAAUUGGAGUAGGAGUUUAUUAAGUAAGGUGCAGGCGAAGUUGAGAGAUUUUGAUCUAGGCUUUGCGGUGUCUAACCUUGUGUCUAUUUCGGGGUCUAGAAUAUAGUUCAGAUCUCCACAGCAUACUAGUAAGCCUUGUUGUAUAUUGCUCGUUUUAGCCAACAAGCUUUGUAAGAAUUGUCUCUGGUUGUCAUUCGGUGCGUGAAAAUUAAAUAUG